AUUGAACGCUAGCGGGAUGCCUUACACAUGCAAGUCGAACGGAGUGGCGAACGGGUGAGUAAUGUAUCGGAACGUGCCCCGUAGCGGGGGAUAACUACGCGAAAGCGUAGCUAAUACCGCAUACUAUUGGAGCGGCCGAGAUCGGAUUAGCGAGUUGGUGGGGUAACGGCUCACCAAGGCGACGAUCAGUAGCUGGUUUGAGAGGAUGACCAGCCACACGGGAACUGAGACACGGCCCAGACUCCUACGGGAGGCAGCAGUGGGGAAUAUUGGACAAUGGGGGAAACCCUGAUGAAGCCAUCCCGCGUGUACGAUGAAGGCCUUCGGGUUGUAAAGCACUUUUGGCAGGAAAGCGGUACCUGCAGAAGAAGCACCGGCUAACUACGUGCCAGCAGCCGCGGUAAUAC
rnacentral:rRNA from 1 species